AUGACAGGAACUUUCUUUCGAUUUUUCGUGAUUCUUCUUGGCCUUUCGCAUCUUUUAUUCUCCACUGCAGUCCCAGUUACAAGAACUGAAAACCUUAUGCAAGAUGUCCAAGUUCACCAAAUUACUCUGGAAAAUACCCCUAAGGUUAUUACUGAAAAAAACUUGCACUCUGAAGAGUUAAACAUUACUGAAAGGAUGGAUUUAGAACUCCAUGAUUAUCCACCAUCUGGCCCAAAUGGUCGUCACACUCCAAGAGCACCAUAA